rnacentral:lncRNA from 1 species
CCGCGGGGACUCCUGCCGCCGACCAACGAGGGUACGCCGCGCCCAAGCCGCUCCUCUGGAUGGCGACAGAGACGGCCUGGCGCGCCUGCAGCCUGGGCCCCCCAGCGGGGAGGACGGCUGGCCAGGUGAAGUUCCUGCACUUGGGCCUUCCGCGUUCCCAUCCACUGCAGCCAGGGCCUGGAAGGCUGGGGAAGGGACGGGGGCGGCAGACGCCUCCUAAGGUGCCUCUCAUCUACAUAACUGAAGGCUGCACCCAGGGCUGUAAAGAGUGAAAAUGCAUCACCAAAGCAUGGGCACCUCCUGCAGUUCUCCGUAGACGUUUGGGAAGCGAGUGAACUGCCCUGUGUUUGGAGGAGGUCAGAAGGUGUUGGGCCUGAGCCAUGGGCUGCCCUGGGCCUGUGUCGGGUGGUGCAUCCCAGAGGAAUGAAGCAGGAAGGGCAUGCACAUGGGGUCUUGGCAGCCCUGGACCUGGCCUAGACGCAGCAGCCUCCUGGUAAAGCGAAAAUGUUCCAUUGGCUUGCCAUGCUUUGCUUAGCCACCCGCACUUCACGGUUGGACAAAAAGAAGAUUUUAAAGAACAGCCUUGCCAGAUAUCAGAGUUGGGGAUUUGGGGUCCAUAAUAGAAGAAAGUAACAUGAAUUGCUUUCAACACAUCAAUCAGCAAAGAGCAUUGAUGGAUGAAGAGGACAUUGAUAAAUGGGAUGUCCUCUUGCUGAAACUCUGACUUACAGUAAAGCGGGGAAACCCACAGAAGCCCAGUGGAAGUUUCUGGAGCCAGGAGCUGCACUGACUCUCUCCGUGGAGGGUGUGGAGGGGUAGGCGGCUGUUAGCCUCCAGCCCAG